rnacentral:rRNA from 1 species
UACGUAGGGUGCGAGCGUUAAUCGGAAUUACUGGGCGUAAAGCGUGCGCAGGCGGUUCGACAAGUCUGAUGUGAAAGCCCCGGGCUCAACCUGGGAAUGGCAUUGGAAACUGGCGAGCUAGAGUGUGGCAGAGGGGGGUGGAAUUCCGCGUGUAGCAGUGAAAUGCGUAGAGAUGCGGAGGAACACCGAUGGCGAAGGCAGCCCCCUGGGCUUUCACUGACGCUCAGGCACGACAGCGUGGGGAGCAAACAGG